GCGAACGUUAGCGGCAGGCUUAACACAUGCAAGUCGAGCGAGAAAGGGGCUUCGGCUCCGAGUAAAAGCGGCGGACGGGUGCGUAACACGUGGAUAAUCUGCCUCGUGGCGGGGGACAACAGUCCGAAAGGACUGUUAAUACCGCAUGUCAGGUCGGAAACUCCGGUUUCUGACGAAAAAGAGGGCGUCCGCAAGGAGCUCUCACCACGAGAUGAGUCCGCGUCCCAUCAGCUAGUUGGCGGUGUAAUGGACCACCAAGGCUUAGACGGGUAGCUGGUCUGAGAGGAUGACCAGCCACACUGGGACUGAGACACGGCCCAGACUCCUACGGGAGGCAGCAGUGGGGAAUAUUGGACAAUGGGCGAAAGCCUGAUCCAGCCAUGCCGCGUGAGUGAUGAAGGCCUCGGUCGUAAAGCUCUGUGGGGAGGGAC
rnacentral:rRNA from 1 species